GAUGGAUCAAUUAUAAAAGUUAUAAGUGUAUAAAUUAAAUAUUGUGAAAUGUUGAUCUAUAUAUUUCAAUUUUUAAAUGAUUUUACUAAAACAGGUCACAUCGUGUCACUUAGAUCUUCAAAAUCUUCACUAAAACUAAACAAACUUAAUUGCCAUAUAAAAAUUAAGAAAGUUGUCGUAGAAUUCCCCCCCAAAAGUACCAAGCCCAUAUAAUAUCAUAGGUGAAAUCUACCAAACUUACAAAGAAUAGCUAAUUUUAUCAUUAAACUGUUCCAGAGCAUAGAAAAAAAAUAAGCUUUCACAUUUUUUAAAUGAUAUAAACUUAAAAUUAUACCAAAAUUUGACAAAGAUAGCACCAAGAGAAGUAAACCACCAAACUUACUAAUGAAUAUCAAUGCAAAGUAAAAUUCUAAAUAAAAUAUUAGCAAAUGUAACACAUUCAAAGAAAGGUACAACAAGGACAAAUUCCAGGGAUGUGAUGAUGGUUUAAAAUAAUUAAUCAUAUUUAUUAUGAUCUGAGGAGAUCUGAGGAGAAAAUAUGUUCUCUAAUAACCAUGAAAACGAAGUGCUGAAAUCACAUUUAACAAAAUGUGAUUUAAUAAAUUUAACAAAAUUCAACAUCCACUCUUGAUUUAAAAAAAAUAACAAAACAGGAGCUGACAGAUACUUCUUUAAUAUGACAAAAUGUAUUUCAACCCAAAAGCCAGCAUUUUUUAAUGACAUAUACUAGAAAGAUGUCCACUAUCACCACUAUAAUAAUUAGCAAUGAAAGGACUUACAUUUUGGCAUUCUGAGUUACAAAGGAAUGGAGAAAAUAACCCCCCUCAAAAUGAAAUUGACUAAGGUUAAAGUUGUUUUGUAACUUUUUCAGAAGGGAGAAUAUAAAUAUAAACAAUCCUUUUAAAUGUUCUUGAAGGUGAGUUUUUCCUAGAAAAAAAUAACAUGGGACCAUGGAAGGGCACUCCUAGCUGUUACUCAGGGCAAGUCAAAUGAACAAAGAUGGCCUUGUGGCCACAUCACCAAUAUUUUUUAAUAUAGUUCUGAAGGUACUAAUCAAUUCAGGUAGACAGGGACAGAAAUGAGAUGUUUAAAAGUUGGAAAUUCUAGAUGUAAAAAAUUAUUAUUUGCAGGUGAUAUGAUUAUGUAAUUGGAAAACUCAAGAAUAUCAACUGAAAAACUAUCACAUGCUUUUGAAUACAGUAAGAUGGCUGCAUACAAAAUUGAUACAGAGAAAUCUAGCCUUCAUUUAUACAAAUAACAACCAGUUAGAAGGUAUCAUAGAAGAAGAGAGUCCAUUUACAAUAGUAACAACAAAAAUAAAAACUAGCAAGAUAUACACUUAUGGCAGAAUAUGCAAGAGCUAGAUGAAAACUUUAGAAUGCUCCAACAGGACACAUGCACACGCACACACACACGCACACACAAACGACCUGAACAAAAGCAAAGGUAUAUCAUUUUCUUGAAUAGGAAGACUAUAUUAAUAAAGAUAAACUGGGUUUUGCUGUUUGUAAACAAAAGUUUACCUGUUGCUCAUACUACAAAUCCAUCAUAGCUUUGCAGGGAAUGAGCUUCAUUCUAUACGCUCAGGAACACAGGCUAACAGAGCAGUCAUCACCUUGAACACUAUAGGUUAUCAUACCAGAGGAAAAGGAGACUCUAGAGGGUCUCAAACUGACAAUGACAAGCUUAGUACAGAAAUGAUACACAUUAAUUCUGCUCACAUCUCAUUGACAAGUACUGGCAAAUAGUACUAACUACCACGAAGACUCAGCAUCAUAAAAAUAAAACUGCAAUAAAUAACAGAGAAUAGAAGUAACUCAUCUAUAUGCAAUC
ensembl:lncRNA